rnacentral:snRNA from 1 species
GUGCUCGCUUCGACAGCACAUAUACUAAAAUUGGAACCAUACAGAGAAGAUUAGCAUGGCCCUUGCACAAGGACAUGCAAAUUCAUGAAGGAUUCCAUAUUUUU